UUCAGUGUGAGUUAGAAUGUGAAGAGGUUUUUAAUUAGCUCUUCAGUCUGGCGAGCAGAAAUUAUAUAAGGCGAUGUUUAAGAAUAAAAUUGAAAAAUAAAUUAAAGUUCAAUAGCUAAAAGAACCAUUCAUUUGUGUAAGUGGAAUGCGGAAAUAGGAGAUGUAUUUGAAA
rnacentral:ncRNA from 1 species